rnacentral:lncRNA from 1 species
AAAAAAAAAAGUUAGAUUUUCCAUUUUAAUUUUAGGGAAAAUAUAGAUGUGCAAAAUUUAUAUUAGUACCCUCAACAAAAUUUUAAUCGAUUUAACUUUUUCAAAUUUUGAUAAAGUUUACCAUCCGACUUUUUUGUUAAUUUUUCAUCCUGAUCUUUGUUAAACCUAUAGACGUUGACUCGUACAUCCACUCACCUUUAGGGCUCAGCUCAUUUAAGAAAGUUUGAGCUCGAGUUUAAUUCAAACUCAGUUCAUUUAAAUCCCGUCACAAUAGAUAUCACGCAUGUAAAAUACGUUUACAUGUUUUUGGUAUUGUGUGGCAUGCCAAUUAACAUGUUGGAUAAUCUUAACAUAGUCUAUGUUAUUGGGCAUCACAAGACAAUAAUCCUUUAUUUGAAUAAUUCAAGCACACACUACAUGUAAAGAACCCCAUGUUUUUAAAGUCGUUAAAACAAAAGAGAAAGUGUACAACGUUGGGAGUCGUUUAAUUUUAACAUCUUUUAAAGCAUACCAUUUAUAUGAAUUAAUAUUUAAGACUUAUUAAGCACACCUUGUUCUGUUAUUAAUUUAUUUGACAUACCUUCUCACAUUUACAAGGGAUGAUUUAUUAAUAUUUCAUUCUAGAGAUAUGGCUUUUCGGGUGGAUUGCAGUGGCCUCUUCAACUUGAUGGGCAAUUUCUUUCUUUCCAUAAACAUUUGCAACUUCCUCAAAGUUGAAAUAUUUGGAGUUUGGGAAGCCAAUAUAAGGGUGAUCGAAGAUGGCAUUCGGAGAAGUUGAUGCAUCGUCGUUUUAUGAUUGCUUCAAUCGGUCCAGACGAUACACCAACUUCUGUUAAUUCCAUCUUUAAUCACCCUUAUAUCGAUUUAUCCAAAAUAAAAACGAGCAUAAACUAAAAAUAUAACAAUAACAAAAUAACAAUUAAAAAACUUGAUUAUUUUCUUCUAGCUUUCUACUUACAAAUGAAAAGCCUUUUAUAGGCCUCAUCUCCCUAAUAUUACAAUUGAUAUUAAGGGUUAGUCGGAUUACGAGUUAAUCGGGUUAUGAGUUAAUCAGAUCAUGAGUUAUUUGGGUUAUGGGUUAUUGGGCCGCCACAUGCAUGCAAAAAGUAAGUCAAUUUGAAAACUUUCCACACUAAUAUAACAAAAAUAUCUUCAUUUGACCAUUAUUUACAGGGGUUGCCAUAGUGAAAUAUGAUUUUUAGUCAUUUCCAUCAUGAAAGUCAAAUACUAGCCGAUUUGAAAAUUUUAAUUUUUCAUAUUAAAAUUGUCAAUUUCCAUGGGUUAGCACACGGAAAUUGACAGUUGAAAUUUGUUUAAAUUGACCAAUAUUUGACAUGUAUGUUGAAAACUACUAAAAAUCCAAGUUUCACCAUGUCAACCCCUCUAAAUAAUAACCAAAUGAAGUUAAAAAUCGUAUUAAAUAAGGCCCUAUGAAAUGAGAAUUUAAAUAACCUAAAAAACGGUAUUUAAUAGGAUUUAGAAUUUAGGACUUGCAAAAUAUAUUGUUUUGAUUUUUCUAUAUCAUCAACGGGUAACUAACGGAUAAGAAUCGGAUAAGAAUGGCUUGCAUUUCAUCCAAACUAAUUAUUAGUUAAUUAUUUGAAAAAUGCAGGUGUACCAGAAAAUAAUUUUUUUCCCUCCCUGGCUUAAGGUAAGAACAUAUUCAUGCUGUCUUUUGGGAUGCAUGCCACCAAGUAGUCAAACCACACAUUGCUUAAAGGUUCUCUCAAAGUUUUACUUUUCUUCAACAUGUUUUCUUGUGAUUAUCAACAUGGGAAACACGAUGACCUAAGUAAUUUUGAAUAAAACUAUGUAAUAUUAGUGAGUUGAGGAAUAACGUGAGAUUAUGAGAAAGAAACAAAAAAUUAAUAAAGAAUAUGUAUAUAAAGAAUGUUUUCAUUGAAUUUAUGACAAUUUAACCAUAAUAUGUGAGAAUGACAAUAUAUUUAAAUAUAGCUUGGCAUUGAGCAUGAUGGCCUCACCCUAAUGGCCGGUAUUGUGAUCGGAACGAUCCUAAUCCUUAGUUUGACGCGAUAAUUAGGAUUUCACCACCUAUGUCUCUAAACUAUAACCUAGUCGCGAUGGACCAAUCUGAUGAGCUUCUAGCCUCAAUCACACCCAAGAAACACUUGGCGAUCCAUUCUAGAGCCAAGCGACUAUAUCCCAUGAGAUCGGUCGACCAGCAACAUAUAGAAAAUUCAGUAAAUCCCAAUUUUUUAUGAUUUUACCUAGCUAUUUGGGUGUGUACGUAUGCAUAUCAAUCUAACAAUGUGAACGGUUAUCUAGGCCUUCGUCCUAACGAACCCAUCGCUACCCAUGGAUCAAAAAGAACCAAAAAUCUACGAGCGGGAAACUUGAACAUUCACGGGCAAGAGAAACGAGGGGACAAAGAGCAUCUCUAGAUCCAUGGGGAAAAUAUUUUUGGAGGAAGCCGUUACACAAAUUGAUGCAGAAAGAGAAAUGAUCAUAACUUCUUCUGUAUGCAAAAUUUGACUCUGAUUUUGGGUUUUGUUUUGUGGCGGUGGCAGCAAAUAAUACGGCGGGCGCUCGUGCAAAUUCCAGCUGCGGGGCUGCGGCAUCAUCAUCUUCCUGCGAAUUGGUUGGUUGGUUGGGUUUUAAAUUUUGCUGCUUAGCCCACAUCUCUUUGUCUGUCUCUUUGUGGGUGCGUGGGGUGUCAGCGUCUCCCACGCAUCUCAACUUUCUGUUUGGUUACCUAGCUCCCUCCAGCCUGUGGUCAAACUCUUUCAUCGAUUCCUUUCCUCACUAGAAAUCGGUAAUAUCGAGUUCAAAUUCAGUAAUCGCAAGGACACUACCUGUUAUUAGGCCCGGAUACCAAAAUGUAGAAUAAGAGGAAUGAGUGUUGGGAAGCUUUCUUUCCGGGAAAAGAAGAACUAAUUCAUUCGGUUUGAGUGACGGCGGGCAGAAGAACGAAGUAUCCCAAGUUAGGAAGCUAGGAAAAGGAGCAUACAGACUGUUGGUAGAAGGGUUUAACAUUAGACAAUCUAACAUAUGUUAGGUAUUCUUAACCACAGUCUGAUAAAAUCGUUUUUAGAAUUAGUUUUCGUUCGAUUAAAUUAAGUAGUUUCUUAUUAAAUAGGUUGUAGUUGCGUGGUUAUAGCUAACUCCUGACUUUGUUUCCAAAGAAUUUGAGUUCAAAAUUUGGAAUGAGCAAAUAUCAGAUCAUUUAAUAGCAUCACUGAUCUUACCUAAAUUAAAAAUCGAUAACCCAAAAACGUGUAAGAUGACAUUACUAACUACAGUGUCCGUUCAAUGUGUCACCCUCUUCUACCUAAGUAAUCAUCAUCAACCAGUCGCAAUAUUCCCUCCCUAUUUUGUCUCAUUCAAUUCAAACCCCUUAAGUAUUAUGGGGGUAAUUGCAUUAUUUAUGGGCAUAAUUCCGCCACUAAUCAUUAAUCAAAAUUAAUUAAUAUAUAAUAAGUUAAUCCAAUUUCUUUGUGAUGUUAAUGCACACACCUUAAUUGGUUGGUGGAAUUAAUGGAAGAAGGGGAUCUGGCUAAUCAUUAAGCCGUUUAGUGUUGUGUUUUGUAACAGCAAAUCAUUGACAAGUUUAGUUAGGUAUUUGAUUUGGAUAUUCUAAAACAUGUUACUCCUUCUUUAUAAACUUCAAUGUUUUAUUCACAACUAUCAUAUAGGAUAUACACCAUGAGCAUUUUUGUAACUCAUUGUCGAUAAUUCAAGUUAUUAAGAGGAAUAAGUUAUUGAUAUAAGAUAUCAAAUAUGAAGGUAAUUUGUGGAGUUGGAGGUGGCGUUCUCUGAAUUUUGACACACUGUGUGGCAAGUUUAUGCAAGUUGUGGAUCCUAGAUUUGGAAGCGAAUAUGUAGGUGUUGUGAAGGUUUUGAUAGAAAUUAAUGAUGUUGCAAGAACAUACUUUCAAACACGAAAGGUGAUGUCGUUCCUCCCUAAUAAUUAUAAUUUUUUAAAGCCUUUCAAAAACAGAAAAUUUUCUGAUCCAAAUUGAUGAAUGAGGAUAAUGGUUAGUUUUGAAUUAUUUGACUCGAUUAAUUAGUAUUGGGAACUUGAUUUACAUUUUUUUUGGGUAGAAAAUGGACAUAAGGGUCUUGAUUAUUAACUAAAAUCAUUGCGAGAAAAGCAAACUCCUACCAAAUCUGCACACAAGCAACUCACGACUUCAGUCGGAAAACCAAAAGGAAGAGACUGUCCCCGAUGAAAAAAUACCACCUACACGAUAAACUAAGUGUGCAAAAUGUACACCUCGCGAUCGUGUUUAUAAACCGGAUGCGCUUUCAAAAUACAUGAUAGGUGCGGAAAGUCAUCAGUAGGAGUCCAAAUUUUUUCUUAGAGAAACAAAUUCCUUGUGCCAUUACAUUGUUUAAUGGCACUAGAGUUUUCCAAAUUAAAGGUGAUCGUGAAAGGUCGUAUGUUGAAUAAUUAAAAAACUGUGUAUUAGGUAGAAGGGAGAGGGUUUCAAACGUAGUUGCAUAGUUAAUUGAUUGAUAAUUAUGAUUAGGACCCAUAAUUAACGUAGACGAUGGUGGUUUGCCACCCAAAAUGUCCAUUUUAAUAUUCUCACAGCAAAUUAGUUGUAAGAAUCGUCAACGUUUGUUGCAAUGAUCGUCGACUGACCAAAAUCCAACAUUUUUAUUUUUCAUUAUUUAUUCUUUUACUGCGCAAUAUAUUAAUUACUACUUAAAAAAAAAAAGUUAAUUAUCAUCUGAAAGGCGGCACUAAUGAUCCGUUAGUUAGUUAACAAGGAUUGACUGGAGAUCUAAUUUUUGUGCCAUGUACAUAUAAUAAAAAUUAAACUAGAACACAUGUACAAACAAAUUAUUUUUAAAUAAAUUGGUACUUUCCCCCCAAUAUCAUAUGUAUAAAAAUUAUAAAUUUAUUUACAUCUCUAGUGGCUGGAACAGUAUAAAACAUAUGUAUGGAAAAGUUAGAAUUUUGCUAUUUAAUUAUGUGGCAUGUCUUUUCUAGUAUAUAUAUAUAUCUAUUAAAUACUACAGUAGAAUCAUAGAUACAUGUGUUUUUUUCCAAUAUAUAUAUAUAUAGAGUUCCAUAGUAUAAAUUUAUUAUUAUGAAACAUUUUAUGAUUUAGGAUUAAUGGUCGUAAAUUUUUUUCAUUUGUUCAUGUUUAUUUAAGGUGGACAAUAAGAGGUGAUGGACUGUUAGGUUCAAGAAUUAUCGUUUAUAUUUCAGUUUGGUGUUGUGAAAAUUUCUCACUAAAGUAGUGAGCUUGAUAAUGAAGUAGGAUUAGUAAAGAAAUAUAAGAAAUGGACAAAUGGUACAAUCUGAAUUUAUGAGAGUCGGAGCUGUAUUUAUAGUAUGACACACGAACAAGUCAAUCUCAUCUCAACAAUUUAAGUGAUCAGAGCGAUUCUAACAAUUAUCAAUUAACUUAGGAUAAUCCACUAGAAUUCUCGUAAAUCAUCGAUGGACUAAUUAGUCCUUUCUUUGUAGGCAUUUGUACGUGUUUGGUCGCUUAAAAGCUGCUAGCUAUGAGAUUAGACACUAACUAACUAGAACCCGCGCAUAUUCAAAUCAUCAAUCCAACAAUGUUAGACCCUUUAUCUGAAACUUUGCAACAACGUAUUACUAUCAACAUCCAAUCCAUAAUUUCAUGGGACGUCUCAAAUAGUUGCCAUCUGAUCACAACUUGGUUUGAGCUCAAGUAUGAAACCUAGUCAAAAUGACUGUUGUCUUCUUACAUGAAACACAUCGACACAGAAAAAAAAACAUAAGCUGUGAUCUUCUGGCGGUUUCCAUAUCCAUUAGUUUGUAGAUUCUGAUGAAUCCAGUUCUUGUUCGAAACUUCCAUAUCCAUUCAUCUCUUUGUCGAUACCCUUUAUGUCUCUUACCGUAACCGACGGGAUUUAUGAGGCAUCCCGACAUUGUAAUUUGUACAUCGUUAGUUAUAGGGGAUCGGAUAUAUACAUGCUAUAAUAAUAUUAUUAUGAGAUCUAGACUCGAGAUUUAUUAUAUAUGGGAUCUCCGAUCAUCAUGUAACGAUCACUGUAAAAUUGUCAAAAGUUAAUCCAAUUCAACCUAAUCCAACAUUAAUUUGAGUGAUAUCUAAUAUGGUUGGGCUCGUAAGCCGUCCAAUUCAUCAUAACUUGAUGAAUCAUGACCUGAUUAAUCAAACAUGCAAGUAAUGAAUUGAAACAAUCAAGAGUAUUCCGAAUAAACCGAAUCCGACCCAGUAUUGAAAUUUAGCUCGAGUAUACUGUGAGUGGCUGAAAAUUAUGGACACUUAUCAAAAGACAAUUUUGGAUACCUUCUAUACAUCAAUAAAUAAAAUAAAACAAAAAUAUCAUAAAAAUUAGUAUAUAUAUAGUUCAUAUUCUUUUUUGAGUCAAAGCAAUAUCUUGGUUGAUGAGAUGAUGGGAGUGUUGAUUGUAGGCCAAUAGUGUUCAUGGAAGGAAUGGAACUAAUUAACUUUUUGGGCCACUUUUUUUUUCCAAUUAUUAUUAUUAUUAAAUAUAUAUUUAGUCUAUUUUUAGUCAUUUUUUAGAAUAUUGGACAAAUGGUGGAAGACAAACCUCAUAAAAACCUACACCCACGAGCGCUCUGAUGUGACGAAAUUGACCCCCCGCAAAAUAUGGGGGGAUGUGACACGUGUCGUCACUGGAAAGCCUGUGGAGACUAGUGCUACUACUGAUGGAGAAAAGAUCUCUCAUUUUCUUCUUCAUAAAACGUUAGUUUUGUUAGUGAGUAUGGCUCAGAAUUUGUGAUGCUGGGAAAAGGAUGGGAUUUUGCUUUUAUGGGCACUUUUUUUAAUUUAAAAUUUUUCAAUUUUAUUUUGUGUGUGGAUAAUGCUUGAAAAAAAUUUGUUGCAUGAUUGUUUUUACGAUAAUUAUGAAUAAAUUGGUUUAUUUUUCACGUCCUUCUUGUUAACUCAUGGAUUUGAUUCACAAUAGUAGAGUGUUGGCACUCCCUAGACGUGUGACAUAUCAACUACAAUGCGCAAUGAAAAUCAAUCUAACUGCAAAUGUACUCACUGGCCUUUCUCUAAAGCGAUAUUAAAUCUAGUAAGAUCGGCCUUAAUUAUGCCCGGGGAUGGGUGAUCAGAUUACACACACCGAACCUCAAACUGGAUGUUGAUAAGAUACAUCCAAACAAUCUCGAAUCAAGUUGAACGUAUGAGCGCCGAUUAAGUUUCCAAUUGACCAUCAUUAAUUAUAGUAAUUAUGGUAGUGUGAGAAGAGACACAAGGAUAAUGAUCACUCAUUGGUAAAGUAAUAGUACCAAAAUCGAUUAAACAACAAACAAUAAGUAUAUAAUUGCACAAGUAAACAGGUUGACCAUCACCUAUUCUCUUAUAUUACACAUUUUUUUAAAAAAGUGAUAGCUCUAUUCGAGUAAAAUAGAAGAAUAGUUGGUCAAAAUUAAAUUAUUUGUAGCUUAUAAAUCUAUUUAAAUUGCCAUAUCCUUUUUUUAUUUGCCCCAAAAGCUCAUGUCUUUUUGUUCGCAGAGUUGUCUGAUGAUUUAACUAAAACCCAACAACAUCAUGUUUGUUCGUUUAAAUUGUUAAAUCUUGUUUUUUUCCAGUUCGAUUAUAAUUUAAUGGGAAAAUCUAAGGGGAAAAUGAUCCAUCUAGGUCAUUAAAAUAGGGGAAAAGUGACAACUAAGNNNNNNNNNNNNNNNNNNNNNNNNNNNNNNNNNNNNNNNNNNNNNNNNNNNNNNNNNNNNNNNNNNNNNNNNNNNNNNNNNNNNNNNNNNNNNNNNNNNNNNNNNNNNNNNNNNNNNNNNNNNNNNNNNNNNNNNNNNNNNNNNNNNNNNNNNNNNNNNNNNNNNNNNNNNNNNNNNNNNNNNNNNNUAUUUUUUAUAAGAAAAAGUACUCAUUGCAACAUCUCUCGAUUUCAUUCGUGAUCCAUACACUACUUUAGUUUCAUGGUACAGCUAAAGGUCACUUGUUUACUUAAUUAUAUUUAAUGGAAGUGAGAUGUGAUGUUGGUGUUUUAACCUUUGAUUACCACUUAAUCACUAGAGUGCUAGUUCGAUGACCGAAAGAAAAAAGUAAUAAAUAUUGUUACGAAAUUAUAUUCACGUAUUAUUAUUACCCAAGGAAUUAAUAUAUGGUUUAUGAAUAAUCAUCAUCGGAAUAGAAUAAUAUAAGAUAAUAUCAUCAUUUAGUGCGUGAAUCAGAAUUGGUCAAACAGUUAGUAAUAUGUAAUCCAUAUUCAAAUAAAUGAGUGAACGUUCGUUUAUUAAUAAAGUCAAAAUCAUUAAAGAGAAUAAUCACUUAUAUGUUACAAGAGACAAUUAAAAUUAAUUAAAAAUAAAAUUGAACUCAAAAUGAAUAUGGCCAUAGUCCAACCUCAACCAUUUUCAUGUCUAGCUAGCUAGUUACUACUACACGAACCAUCUCAUCAAACCAAUCACAAACAUAUACUUAAAUCAAAUAUGAAUCGAACAUCACAAAAGAACACACAAAUGUACAAACCUUAAAUUAAAUAUGUCCAUCGUCUCAUUUUCAUGUCCAACUAGUACAUCCUGCUACUCAGGCCCACCCGAAAAUCAAACACGAAUCACAAACCACAAAAGAAACACAUAAGCCAAGUAAAUACUACUCAAUGGUGCUUUCGUCAUGGCGUUUGACAGGUGGAUAUUGAGGGUAACGCGAAGUUAGUCCUUAUCUGGCUGAAGUAGCAGAGCAUCCGAUGUGUGGCGGGCUGCGCCACCAUUCCAGAGAUCCUUGACUUUUUAAAGGUUUGUCAUCGUCUUCAGAUGAAGGUCCUCCAGCGAAUUGCUAACGUAACUGGCCACUCAAUGACGAGAAAAACUCUUGUACGUCUCUCUAUCAGUUAUGGAGAUUAAUCUCGCUAUCUCAAUCAAUAUUUAACUUUAUAAUGUUGUCUGCUAUCUAAAUUUUUCUCAUGCCUACUUUAAAACAAAUCGGGUCAGAUAAAACCAAAAAUAAACCAACCCAAACUAAAGCUAGGAGAGACUUAGGAGAGGGAGAAAUUGAAGGUGGAAUAAGGGUGAGAGAGGGACCCUCUUUUGCCCACCACCGCCCAUAAGCAAACAAGCACACAGUCUCUCUUGUACCCUCUGAAAUCUGAAUCUCUCCCCCUCUCCCCCACCACACUAGCACCACCAUCAAUCACCACCACUCCAAUCCUUAAUCCAACCCAUCCCCAACCCUAGAAAAAACAACCCCACACCAACCCAUCAAUUAAAAUAAAAACCCAACUCAACUCCCCCCUUUUCUUCCCCAUCUCUCUCUCUCUCUCAAACUUCUUCUCUUCUUUCAUCUCCAUCUUCAUCUUCUUCUUCUACUUGAUCUCCCCCAAACCCCCACCAACACAACCUCUAAAUUGAUACCCAUCCCACCCUUAAAGUAUGACCCAUAUGAUUCUUCACUAAUUCCCCAUCAACCCAUCUCCAAAGAUCAAAUCUGUACUCUUCUCCCCUCCCAACAAAGAUCAAGUCUAGUCACUAACCCAUCUUAAAAAAGAUUCAAACUUUGCCCCCCCCCCCCACACCACGUCUGCCUCCAACACCCGCAACACAACAGCUCUCUAAUGCAGCGCACCACNNNNNNNNNNNNNNNNNNNNNNNNNNNNNNNNNNNNNNNNNNNNNNNNNNNNNNNNNNNNNNNNNNNNNNNNNNNNNNNNNNNNNNNNNNNNNNNNNNNNNNGUCACCAACGUCGCCCUCCGUCAACCAGCUUCUCCCGGAGCCGUGGUCACCCUCCACGGCCGAUUCGAGAUCUUAUCCCUAGCGGGUUCUUUCCUCCCGCCGCCGGCACCUCCUGCAGCCACCGGGCUGACGAUCUACCUCGCUGGAGGGCAGGGUCAGGUGGUAGGAGGAAGCGUGGUGGGCACGCUGACCGCUUCGGGUCCGGUAGUCAUCAUGGCGGCGUCGUUUAGCAAUGCGGCGUACGAGCGGCUGCCUUUGGAAGAGGAGGAGCCGCCGCAGAUGGCGGCGGCAGGACAAGGCGGAAUCGGCUCUCCGGGAGGAGGAGUGGGGUCCACCACCCCAAGUCAACAGCAGCAGCAACAACAGCAGCAGGUCAUGGGUAGUGGAACCGGGUCGGGCGACCCGAAUGGAGCUCCGCUUUUCCACGGGUUGCCGCCGAACUUGCUGAAUUCAAUCCAAUUGCCUGCGGAUGCUUACUGGGGCGGCGGAAACGGUAGCGGCGGCGGUGGAGGACGUGCUCCUUACUGAAAUCAAAUCCAAGUAAUUGGUUAUUAAUUAUUAGUCAAACCAUUUUUCGAUUUCGCGCUUCUUCUUCAUCUUCUUUCUUCAAAUUCGAUGUUAGCUUAGUAGUAAGCUCUCUUCUUUGUUUUUUUUUAAUUAUGGAGGAUGAUUAAUUAGUUUUUUUUUCUUCUCCUUCUAAUUUGAAUCUUGUUGUUGUUGUUAAUGUUGUUUGCUGGGUUUGUGUCUGGUUUUUUUUUUGUUCCUCUGCAUUUUGGUUCGUAUGUUAAGUGGAUGGAUCCAUGAUUGUUUUGUUGAUGGGUUUAGAUGGGGAAGGAUUUUGUACAUGUUUUGUUUUCUGUUACCACGACUUUGGGUUAAAAUUAAUUAGUGGUAAAUUUUAAUUAAAAUUUACUGUUUUGUUGAAGAAUCUUUGAAGCAAAUGUAUGAUUUUCCCUACAGCUUGUUUAAUUUUGAUUUCUACCAUCUACAUAAAUGCGGAACAACGAACACGAGAGCCAAUGAGAUUGAUUUGAUUGAUGGAUUAUGAUUAUUUCUUGGAUCAAUAUCCAGAGACCACGUUAUUAUGAGUAUUAAUUAAGCUUAAGAUUUUUAGUCAAGUAUUUUUGGUACCCAUUAACACAAAUUAAACCAAUCAUUUGAUUACUCUAAACCUUAAUCCUCAUUUGUCUUGGAUGUUAGGAUAUGAUCUUUACAAGCAUUGUCGUCCAAAAUUAGAUUUCAACUACUACUUACUGACCUAAAAAUCCUUUAUUGAACUUAGAAUGCUACUAGGCUUCAUACACUUAACACAUGUAUAUAGCUAGAGUCGUAUAAAAUCAACCUGGUUCGACUGGAUCGAAAACCUUCUGUCCGUAUAAUAUGAUGACACGAAACUAGCUUAGCUAGUAAGAUCUUGUGUGUGUAUAUAUAGAGUCGUACUGAACUGUUCGAAAACCUUCUUCCUAAUAUGACAUGAAACCAGCUACUAAGAUCUUGUGUAUGCAUAUAGAGUCGUAUCACCCGCUGGUUCAACCGGGUUUCAGAGACCUUGUUUCUAAUAGGACACACAAAACAAGUUAGUAGAUAAGAUCUUGCUUAUAUAUAUAGAGCCAUCCAACCAGGUUUAACCAGAUCCGAAAACCUUAUUUCCAAUACAAGAAGGAACUAGCUAGCUAGCUAGCUAGUAGUAAGACGGAUGUUUCCAUCUCCACACUACUGGCCAAGUGUGGAGAACCUUACUCGAGCCUUCAAGAAAGGAUUCAUAAUGGUUUUUAAGUUGUGUUUGGUAUUUUCCCAAGAAAUGAAGGUUAGAAUUAUGAUAGAUAGAUGUGUGUGGGCAUAGAAGAGGGAGGGAGGGGGGGGGCUGGCAAAGGGAGGGUUUCAAGGAAUUAGGAGAAGGUGAGUGAGUGGUGACAUUAUAACCAAUUUACGAGGAGAAGCAAAUGGAAGCAAGGAGCAGAGAUGAAGAUAGAUGAGAAAGAAAAAGAGACAGUGAGGUAUGGGCUUGAAUGAAUUCUGCCUAUGUCUCUAUCUCUUUCUUCCUUAAUCUUCUUCUUCUUCUUCCCUUCUUCCUCUUGUGGGGUUGGUGGGUGUGACUGUGAACUUCUUACACACGUGCACUGACUCUGAACUUAGCUCUUUUUCGAGGCAAAACCCACGUACCACUCUCACUUGCUUACUUGCCCUUUUCCCCCAAGCUCCCAAUUUUUCUUUCUUUUCGGGGAGCAGGUGAAGCUAUAUUUUCAUAGCUUCUUUCUCCACCCCAAACAAGACAGAACCCCUUUUGUGACAGGUUUGAGAUUCUAUCCAUCUCUCUGCGUCUUAGUUCCAUAAAUGCCAAUGCUACAAAUCUUUCCAUUUGGAUAUCAAGGCUUGUUGUUGUCGGUUGUUAUAUAGGUGGUGCAUGCUUAAGUACAAUGUUGUGAAAUAGGGUGAUAACGUGGAUCUACAGUAUUCCAACGAGUGUGAGGUGAAAGAUGGUAGAACGAUCGAAUCGGUAAGUUUGGACAAGGUAUCGAGUUCAAUCAUCGACUCUGUCAUAUAUUUUUGGUGUUAAUCGAGAGCUGGUUAGUUAAGAAUAUUUUCAUACUCGACAUGUUUGAAUGACAUACCGUAGCGAGAUUGCCCACAAUGCGAUAUUGGUUUUAACAACAUGGACGUACGUGGUUGAUUAUAUGUGUGUGUGUUUGCUGGACUCGAUAUCAAAAUUGAAUAUGUCACACGGAUGUUAAAGUCUAUGUAAUCACGAUGCAAGAGAUAAACUUGAAUCAGAGUUGCUGCUCGAUUUAAUGACAUUUAGCUUGAGUGUAUUAACAAGAGUUACAAGUAGCAGAAAAUGGUGAGAUUUAAGUGAAACAGUAAAACCCUAAGAUAGCCAGAUGUUGUGUCCCUUUGGUCUACUUCUUCUCAGGCAAAUAGAACUAACUACAUAUGCAUGCAUGCGGCUACAGUACUCUAACGCUAGCUAGUCCACAGAUUUGAUUAUAACUACUGUAUCUCGAUUCCCAUGCAUAUCCUUCUGAUAGAAGAUUAAACAUUGAGAUUCUAAGUUUUCUCUAAGUGGGUUUGUGAUAUGAGUAACAGUAAAUGCAAAGACCUUAUCUAAUAAGUAGAUAAUCCUAAAUAAAUUACCGCUUAGGUGGGCGGGCGUUGUGCUCCGUCAGGAGAGAACGGUGAUCGAUCAAUGAGUGGUUUGAUUUAGAGAAUUGGGUUGAAUGUUGAUUUGUUGCUCUUCUUAGGAGAUUCUUUGCAAGGCAUAUGAAAAUUGAUUUGUAAGUGGUAGUAUGAGAGGGCAUUAAGGGAUGUAAGAGAGGAAUGGAAGACAAAGAAGCACCAAUGUGUGCCCGGAGGCGUGUGGACUUAAGACGAUUUAACUUGAUAAGAUGUUUAACAUUACGCAUACAUGGUGAGUAUAGUGUAUGUAUUUAAUGAUGGAUAUUCUCUUUUCUUACACAGUAUCGAGGGUCGGGUCGGGUUGCCAUAGUUUUGCCGAUUGGUUGAUGAUCAUUUUGAGAUUGGAUCCAUGUCUUUGAUGAUGAAUGAUUGAGAUUGCUUAUAGGGUAUAGGCUUGAGCCUAGUUGCCCUAGGGAUGCGGGUUGGGUCUCUAGACUUGGGCGAUUUUCUUGAUAUCUUGGGUUUAGCUUGAAUUAAACAGUUAAAAAGUUGGAUGGAAUUUAAAUGACAACGGGAAAGUUCGCUCCCUAAUAUUUUUCUGUGUUCUAACUUUCUUAUUAAACCGAAAAAAUAUUUAAAAUUUCAUUUAACUUCCCCACCGAGCCAAAACAAGCUUAUAUGGAGAAAGAUAUUUAAUUUUGCUGUAUAAUUUUUAUCAAUAUAUUUAAGGUAUUGGAUAUUGUGACAAUUCCUCGUUUUUGAGAAUUGAUUUUCCUUCCCAAUAAAAUUUACCACUUACCAUUUUAUGGCAAAUAUUGUGUGUACGCAUAUUUAGAGCUAACCUCAAAUGAUUUGUGUUAGUAUCGAGAAUGAACAUGGUUAACCGUUUAGUUUGAAUCCAACAAAAACAAAAUGUAGAAAACGAUAGUUUGAUUUUAGAGAGAAAUAAAAAUUAGAGAGAAGUGCCAACAAAAUUUGGCUGAAAUGUAAUUAUUAAAUAGUAAGUUCGAACGGUAAUGUCUCUUAUUUAUGAAAAAACGAACGAUUGGUCAAUAAUUCAUCGGAUCAAUCAUUUAAUGCUCAGAUACGUCAAUUUUAUCAUCAUUUAAUGCUUGGCCCUCAAGUGAUUUGGCCAUACUUUAGAUUUAUAUACAUCUAAAUAUAAAUAUACGAAGCAAUUUAUAAUAUUAAUGUCCAUAUAUAAAACGUGUUGAAUUCAAACUCAAUAUUUUCAAAUUACUAACACAUAACGUCACCAACUCCAAUACAAUUUGUGAUUUCGUGCUCAUUUCUUUUAGUUUCUGAUUUGCUAAAUUUAGUUCUUGGGUGCAAAAAUCGAACCUUUGCACGAACCUGAGGCUUCGGGAGAAAGGCCACUCAGUUAUAGUUUAGUGGCGGACUUGGGGCAUAAAACCCAUAGAGAAACCACUUAUAUGGGCUUAAAGCCCAACCAAUGUCCUCAUAUGGCCCUCUUUUUUCUAGAUUUGAAGAGGUGCAAUAGGCUGCUAUUGCCAAAGUUUGAAAGUAUUCCUCAGCCAUUCUUAGGAGCAGCAACAAUGUACCAAGUCCACUUUCGAACUUUCAAGAUUCCCAUGCACACCAAAGUUAUUGAGCACAUAACCAUAUUUGAUUAUUAGGUUUGAUCUUGUCAAUCAAGAAACAGAAUUAGAUUCCAUCAUAUCAAACCUUUAGUCCAUCUAUAUAAAUCAUCCAAGGAUACACAAAACCAACAUCAUCAUACAUUAUCUGGGUUCAGUCCAUCUGUUCUCAAACACAAACCUUAAACACAAUAAACCAAUGUCAUCCAGAAGGAAUCAUCGUCAUCACUAUAGCCGUGAAGCAGCAGCAGCAGCCUCCGAUGACUACGGUUACUGCCAUUAUCCUGUGAAAAGGCGAGAGAUAGUGGCAGCAGCUCCACCGGCCAUCGUCUGUGUUAGGCUUGGUGGUCAUAAGAUUUGCAGUGACAACGUUGACACGGUAGCUGAGGAGUUCAUCAAAUGGGAGCACAGGAAGUUCGAAGCCAGCAAAACCAUGUCCGUUAACUAUGGCUAGGAAAUCACUUGUACAAUAAAGCUUAUAUUUUGAUGGGUCUAGAACUCCGAUACUAUGUACUAUGAAAUCCAUGGUUUUGAUGUAAUGUAACAGUAAAUUAAACAGUCUGGGAUAAUGUAACUUGUCGAAAAUCCAUAUGCAUCACAAUGUAACAAUAUGUUUCAUUUCAGCUUGUAGAAACAACUAACCAAAUGAGAAGCCUCUGUAAAAAAUCAUCUAACGUGCUCGUUGAGCACGCUACACGAACAAGAAAGAAAAGAACUACCUCAACUCACCACCCAAUUCGGAGGGGGAUGCGGAAUGGUCAAACGAGAAAACUCAAAGGAAAGAAAUACCGUAUUAAUCGAUGGUUCGGAAACCAUCGACUUAUAAACUUAUAGAGGAUCGUCUACAGUCACGCUUGUAAUCUUUGUGUCUUUGAAUUGGUGUCGCCACCAUCCACUGCUGCCACAGCAGUUUAAAAGAUUCCUUCUUUCGAUCUGUUUGAAGAUAUACUGAUUCAAUAACGGUUCGUUCGUGUUGUCAAUAUAUUGUCAAUUCAGCCUACUUGGAAAAUAAUAAAACAAAUGACAUACUAGUUUAUCCAAUCUAUAAUUAAUCCCCAUAAUAGAUUUCACACUAAAUUUCUCGAGACAGUUUGAAAAACUCUCUUGGAUGACCCGAACGUUGUCUAGACAGAGUUUGUUGGAAUAAUAUGGUGAUUGAUUUGUAAGGUUUGGAACUUGGGUGAUCAGUUUGCUGAAAGAAGAAAGUUGGGUGAUUGAUAUGAGGAAAUAAAUGAGUUGGAUGAUUGAAUUGUAAAGUAGGAAAAUGGUGGACUGAAAGAAGUAUUUGGAAAACGGAGUUUGGAUUACAGAGGAAGGAAGCUGCUGCUUUCUUUCUUCUGGAAAAUAGAAAUGGCUGCUGAAGCCUUUUGUUCUUUUGGUAUUGUUUUUAUGUUAUAACUUGGCUUGAUGCUUACAACACAAUGGAGAGGAGCUUUAUCAUACACAACUCAUUGAAACUAUGCAACUCAUUGGAAUUCCAAAUCAAGAUCUCUCGAUCAUUAAAUUAAAAAAUUAAGAGCUCUGAUUUUACUGGUCACCGAGGAGGGAGUGGAGCUUGAUAAUGAGAUCUUCUUCGUCCUCGCCGAAUUUACGACGCCGUUUCAUGUCGUCCUCGUCGACGUCUGGUACUUUUGAAGUCGAAGAUUCCAUCCCUCUGAGCCGACACCUCUUUCCACAGCCUUGGGCGCCAUGGCUGGUCGCUUCUUCAACUUGUUUGCUAUUGCUGACUUGUUUGAAAAUGGCGUCGUUCUCAUAAGGGCUCAUAGUUAGUGCUUCACUAAUCGUCGAAUGACGGGUGUGAAAGUGUAUAUUUCGAUCUUGGAUCUCGCGUAUUUAUAUGUAUACACUGUACAGAGACUGAAGAGCUAGAGGAAGAAUGAUGGGUGCAGUGCACAUGCAAAAGAGGAGGCAAAAGCAUGCAAGCAAGCAUGGAAACUAAGGGGUUGAACGGUGGUGGUUUUGGGAGGCUAGCUUGCUUAUGUGGAAAAUGAAUAAUAUUUGAUUUGAAAAUUGAAUUUUUUUAAAAUUAAUUAAUAUUUGAUAAGUAUGUUGGAAAUGGUUAAAUAUUAAGGUUUUAUUAUGUUCAAUUCUAUCAAUAAUAGUUAAAUGAAGUUAAACAAAUUUCUCAAUAUGCUAAAAUAACGAGUAAAAUUGAUUUUUAACUACGCUUGAUCAUUAUUUAUAGGGGUUACCAUAAUUAAACUUAAUUUUUUAGUCAUUUCCAACAUGCAUUUUAAAUAUUAGUCGAUUUAAAAUUUGUGAUAUUUUCUUGUGAAAAUGGUUAAUUUCCACACGUUAACCCCUUUGGAAAUUGACAAAUUUGACAUGAAAUUUUUUUUUUUUAAAAUUAGCUAAUCUUUGACAUGCAUAAUGGGAAUGACUAAAAUUUGAGGUUUCAAAAUGUUAAGCCCUUCAAAUAAUAGGCAAAUAAAGUUAGAUAAUAUUUCUUCACAUGAUUAAACAAUAUCAAGUUAAUAUGAUUUUAAAAUUCAUAAUCCAAUUAUUUCAGAGGUCAUUAUGAUUGAAACUUAGCUUUUAAGUUAUUUCCAACAUGCAUGUCAAAUACUAAUCGAUGUGAAAAUUUGAAAUUUUCAUGUCAAAAUGGUUCAUUUCCAUAGGUGUUCCCUUUGGAAAUUGACAAAUUAUGAGGUGAAAUUUAUAGGUAUUACCAUAAUGAAACUUGAUUUUAAAUCAUUUCUAACAUGCAUGUUAAAUAUUAGUUGUUAGGUGUGUUUGGUAACCUGGAGGUCUAGAGUUCGAAUCCAAUCACACCUCAUAAAGAAUAUCAUGUUAUAUUUAAUUGCUUAUUUCUUGUUGAAUGAUUAAUCUAUCGGUCUUCCGCCUCAUGGUUAAGAGAUGAUCAAGUUUGAUCUUUCUAAACCUUCGAAUUUGAAUGAAAGAUAGGAUGCAGUUAUAUCUCGAUCAUAUAAAAUAAAACUUAUUUUAAAUUUAAUAAAAUUUCCAAUCAGCAAAUAAUUAUUUCAUUACACGCGUAAUAAAGUUUACAGAAACAAACGACUCCCAUACAAACGAAAAAAAAAGAAAAAGAAACGCACACAAUACUAUUAUUACUUCCACAAUUUCCUUUAUUCAAAUGUAACAGAAUAAAUGAACAAUGGUCAUGGCAUGGUCCAUUUGCGGUUGCCUUUCAUGAAUAUCGUUCUUAAUAUCGUACAAAGAAGCCUUGAUUACGACUCGAUCCCCUAGGCAAAUUCGUUAGAUGGCAUGACAUCCUUGUGGUACUGGAAGACUUGAUGAAGCUAAGACUCGAUUCCCUUGGCAAAUUCGUUGGAUGGCACGACAUCCUUGUGGUACUGGAAGACUUGAUUAGGUUGUGUCUCGGUCCCAACCGCAAAUUCAUUAGAUGGCACGGCAUCUUUGUGGUAUUGGAAUACUUGAUUAGGUUGCGACUCGAUCUCCUUGAAACCUUCAUUUGAUGGCACGACAUCCUUGUUGUACUGGAAGACUUGAUUAGGUUGUGACCCGAUCCCUUUGGAAAAUUCAUUUGACGGCACGACAUCCUUGUGGUACUGGAAGACUUGAUUAGGCUGCGAUUCGAUUCCCUUGGCAAAUUCGUUGGAUGGCACGAUAUCCUUGUGGUACUGGAAGACUUGAUUAGGCUGCAAUUCCAUCCCCUUGGAAAAUUCAUUAGAUGUCACGACAUCCUUGUGGUACUGGAAGACUUGAUUAGGCUGCGACUCGAUCUCCUUGGCAAAUUCAUUAGAUGGCACGGCAUCCUUGUGGUACUGGAAGACUUGGUUAGGCUGCAACUCGAUCUCCUUGGCAAAUUCAUUAGAUGGCACGGCAUCCUUGUGGUACUGGAAGACUUGGUUAGGCUGCAACUCGAUCUCCUUGGCAAAUUCAUUAGAUGGCACGGCAUCCUCGUGGUACUGGAAGACUUGAUUAGGUUGCGACUCGGUCCCUUCCGCAAAUUCAUUAGAUGGCACGAUAUCCUUGUGGUAUUGGAAUACUUGGUUAGGUUGCGACUCGAUCUCCUUGGAAAAUUCGUUGGAUGGCACGGCAUCCUUGUGGUACUGGAAGACCUGAUUAGUAUCACAACGUACAUCGGCGUGAUCAGAGUUUGCAGCAGGCAGUAGGGAUUCGAUUGCUUUGGGCAUAAGCUGAUCUUUCAUCACAGAUUUCCAGUAACCCCCUAUUGAGUCUUUUCUUGCAUUGACACUAUCAGCUCCCAACUGCAGCAACAUCAAGAUCAUAGUAUUCCAUAAUUACUUUAAGAACAUAUAAAUAACUUUACAUGAUCAGCUAGUACUAAUUAAUAAUGGAGGAAAAUGGGGAUAAAUUGAAGAAACGUAUCAGUCUAUCAGUACCAGUACUACAAGUAGGACGAGAGUGAUGAAUGGCAAAUGAGAUGGCGGCGCCAUAAGAUUCAGAGCUUCAAUUCACUUGUACUUUGGUUGUGUUGUUGGAUAAUAUAAUGUGGUCGUUUCGAAACUGAUCUUUAUAUAGGACCAGAGAAACAUACAUUUUCCUUUUAUCUUUUUUUUUUAAUUUUAAAUCCAUAUAUACAUUUUCACUCAACAUAUUGUUUUUCGAAAAGAAGUUUCCAUUAAUCGUCAAUCAUGACGGAGUAACACCGUAAUCGUACAAGAACUCCCUAACAAUUGACCGCCAAACCAAACUUGCUAGGUAUAGCGAUUGAUAUUAAUGUUUGGAUUCGAGAUAAGCAUAGAAGAGGUUCGAGAUAACAGGCCAGUUGGCAGCAGUGAAAGAGAACACUGAGAAAGGAGAGGUGGAACUGUUAGCUACUAAAAAAAGAGUGUCGCUCUUUGGGGCAGCUCGUCGCUCGACAACUAAAUCUGACACGGAUAUCGAGCUGCCCCCAGGAGCCCUAGUAUCCUCAGCGGCUAACACCGUGCUUAGAAACAUAAUGAAAUCAUAAAUAUUAAUAAAUAAACCAAAAUUUUAAUACCUAAAUUGCCCUUAUCUCUGAAAUCUUUGAAUGUUGUAUAUUUGAAGCCAAAGAUUUUCGGUUUGUCAUAUUGAAAUAAAAAAUCUCGAGAAUUAUCGGAAGGGUGUCGUUAUUGGAAGUAUAUCGAGAAUUAUUGGAAGGAUUAAAUAAAUAAAAAAUGGAUCGGUUGGCAUGUCGCAAUCGCAAAGUAAUAUAAUCUUCCAAAUUAUUGGAAGGAUGUUAUUUCAUCCCCCAUUAUUUUUUUAAAAAUUAACUUUGAAGCUUUUGGUAAAGUAUUCAAAUCUUCAAAUAAAUUUUUAGGAGGACUAUCACUCACAGUGGAUACGACACGACAUUGUAAAUGUGUAUAGCUAAUGCAUACACGUUCAUAAUUCUAAUCAUCCAAAAAACAAAAAAAAACCCUAAAUAAAGAUUUAGCUUACAACCAACAAACUCGAAGAAAAAAAAACAAAAGAUAACUGAAUAGAAACCCUUGAAUGUCGCCACCUUUUCUUCUUCGUUCAGUUACAAUGUGUCUACUUGUCAUUCCAGCACAUCAUUCCAACGCAUAAUCGUAUAGAGAAACUUUUCAAAAAAAGGAAGACAAAAACCUUAAUCACAACUUUAAUAACGUCACUACCGUUGUUAAUUAAGAUCCCACCGUCAUUUUUAAAACGUAGAACGCCUCAAUUUAGAAUGCCGCCGCCGCUUGGAGCCCCUACUGCUUAGGGUUUCGGAUCCAAGACUUUCAAGAAUUAUAUCACAAUAUGUCAUUUGAUGAAAAUGCCUUUAACAUCAUAUAUUAAAUUUAUAACUCACCCAAUAUAUGUGUGUGUAUAGCACUUCUUCACUACCCAUAAAAUUUCAAUGAUCCGCAAUUUGAGCCAUCGUUAGCCAUUUGUAACCUUUAAUUUAUUGUUUCAAGUUUGUUUGUUUGUUUAUUUAUUUUAUUUAUUUUAUUUUUUUGUAUUUCUUAAUUAAUUUUAUGUUAAUGAAAAGCCCAGUCAUUUACAAUAUAGGUGGUUAAAUUGUCAAAAUGCCAGGACAAAUGGAAUUAGAUGGAAAAAAGACGACAUGAUAUUGAAAUUUAUCAAAAAUCAUUAAUUCAUAAUGUGGAUGCAAUUAUUAAUAGAUAGUGUUUAUUUGAGCCCCAUUUAUAACCUUUAAUUUAUUAUUUAAAGUUGAUUUGGUUUCUGACCAUAUCCAUAUGCAAUCUUUUGGAUGGCUGUCCGCCAACAUAUAUCACGAUGGUAAAACGAUAGGUUAAAUAAAUUUUUUUAUGAUAGCUUNNNNNNNNNNNNNNNNNNNNNNNNNNNNNNNNNNNNNNNNNNNNNNNNNNNNNNNNNNNNNNNNNNNNNNNNNNNNNNAAAUAUAGAAGAAAUUCCAAAACUACCCACUUGAAUCUGGAUAUCUCAUUAAUAAAAAGCUUACAAAGGUAUUUUUUUUCUCUAUUUUCAGUCCGAAUUAUAUGUUUUUAUAUACAACACUCGUGUCUUUUAAAAAAAUCAAUAUUGAUAUUUUUUUGUAUGAAUGAUGAUAUUAUUACAAUGCAAUCAGAGGUUUUAGAAGGAUAUAAGAAAUUUCGAAAACCAAAAGUUUGAUUUCAUUGUUUACAUAAAUUCGGAUUCAAAAGAACUAAUAGAUGCAGCUGAGCACGAGUAANNNNNNNNNNNNNNNNNNNNNNNNNNNNNNNNNNNNNNNNNNNNNNNNNNNNNNNNCUGAGCACGAGUAAAAAAAAUUGAAAAGGAAAACAAAUAAAAGAAAAACAAACAAAUCCAACCAUGCAACAACAUUAUACAACCAUGCUAACCAAUGGCGGAACAAAGGAUUUUGUUCGGAGGAUACCAUUUGUCGCCGUAUAUAAAAAUUAACUAUAUAAUAAAAAGUCAAAUAUUAGCAAAAUAUAAAGUUAACCAUCAACAAAAUAUAAUAUUAAUAUUAUAAUAUUAAAUCUGUAUAAUUACAAAAUAUAAUUCUAAGCACACCAUCUAUAACAAGUAUGAUAUGAAUUUAUAUUUAAAAAGCAUUAUAAAAUACAUUUUAACCAAGCUAACAAAUUCAGUCGUUCAAAUUGAUUUGAAACCACUGAAAGGAGGGGUUAGUCGGGAAGGUUUAGACGAGUUUUUGGAGGGAUGCGGUUAAGGUGUCGGUUGUGGAUUCCGGGACGAUGGGAGAUGAAUCAGAGAUGGAGGAGUUUGAUUUAAUGAUUUGUUUAAGCGAUCGGCUGAUGUGUUUUGUAAGUGUUGUAAGCUCUGUUUGGAUUCUGAUCCAUGACUGAAUCUUGACGACGGUGAAGAAGACGACAGAGGUAAUUCCAUUCCUCUGAAGAGCAUCUCGAUUUCCUGCAAUUUGGUACUAGAUUCACUGGGCGAUUGUAUCCAAGCAGGAUCAGCGGAAAAGUUUCCCAUUUUGGUGCUUUCCUGGUGGAGCUUAAUCUUGUUGAGGAAUUUGGUGGCAGAGGAAGCCAAUGUUUUGACGCGAGUGAGGGAGGCGGAUGCUUUCACGUACAGCUUCAGCCUCUCCGACGCAUUUUCAGCUGCAAACUUGCAGUUCGUCUUCACCUGUAAUUAAUUGAUUAACAGUUAAUUAUACUCCACUUGCAUUUACAGUGAUGACAGAAGAUUGGAUUGGAUUUUCUGAUGAAAUGAAAAGGAAGAUGGAGACUCCGAUCAGAUUGAUUCAUUCACUGUUUCAAAAGAAAAAAAAUUAGAAACAAAUAAUUUAUUGAAGUGGACGGUAGUUGAACCGAGAAAUUAAUUUUAUUUAGUGACCUUAUUGUGUUUUGGAUUAAAUUUAGGUGUUGGCCCUUAUAUGUUUAAUAUUUUAAAUAACCGACCAAUGAAUAAAUGCCACGUAGCAUGUGUAUGCCACUAAUACACCGGAGUUUUAAUCAUAUAAAUAUUUAUGAAAGCUCGAUAAUUCAAACCCAAUUGAGACUCUACUUAUUUCAACAAGAGAAAAAAGGAAAUUCUGAUUUAGUUGAUGUAAUUGCUUUUACCCGAUUAAACAUAUAAACUCGAAACCUAUUAUUAGUUUCACUCCUUUUGUUAAGGCUCUCCCUCAUGUUAUCCUUUUGACGAUUUGGCUCGAGAGAAAUAAUAGGACUUUUGAGACAAAGUCUUCUUCUUUGAAUUUAAUGAAUCGUAUCGUCGACAUCGUUUCACUUUGGUUCUCGGUGAAUGUCCAAAAUUGUAAAGAAGGGUACGGAAACUGGAUCAACUUCAACCAUCCAGAUUUCCUUCAGACAUUCCCAAAUCCCAAUCGCAAAGAAUCUUUCAAAUUAUUGGAAUGAUAUUAUUGCUUUCCCCGACAUCAAUUUAAUUUAUCUUUCAAAUUAUGGAUGUUUUGGAUGGCUAGCUACCAACAUAUCGACACUAACNNNNNNNNNNNNNNNNNNNNNNNNNNNNNNNNNNNNNNNNNNNNNNNNNNNNNNNNNNNNNNNNNNNNNNNNNNNNNNNNNNNNNNNNNNNNNNNNNNNNNNNNNNNNNNNNNNNNNNNNNNNNNNNNNNGAAAAUGAACCGUUUAAAAUCAAUUUAAAUAACCGGUACUUGUAAAUUAAUAAAUAAAUAUAAUACAAAUAUAGUAAUUAAUUUUGUAAAUACCCAUUAUUAGUGUAAUUAAAUUUUCAAAAUAAGUAAAUUUAAUUAAUUGAAAUAAAAUCAAACCGUAUACUUUACUGAUUAGGAAGUACACCAUGUCAUUUCCUUUUUUCCAAGAUUUGUGUAAUUUUCCUAAUCAGUUCAUCGGGUUUAGACGGUUUUGAGCCAGUUUUCAAUUGGGUCAACCAGUUUUUAAUGCAAAAACCCAAUAUGGGUCAUAUUUCUCCGGUUUUGUGGGCUUCCCGACCCGUCUUUCUUAACGGAUUACGAUUUUCACAGACAGACCGGCCGGGCCGAGCCGGAUCCGAGAACACAGGUUUUACGCUAUUUCCAUGUUUUUUCAAGUGAUUAGUUUGUCUUGAGAAACAAUUACUACAUUAUGAGAUAGAACUACAUUCAUAUGUUAAGUGGUGUCAUUUCUAUGUAUAGGUGUCAUUGCUAUGUCCCGUGUUAAUUUAUUUGGGCGUAAAAUGUGAAUGUAGAAUAUGAAUUAUCAUUAUCUAAAAGUUGCUAAAAACAUCUAAAUGAGUAACAAUAACUCUCAAUGGGUGUACAAAUUUCUUUGGCUUGUUACCCUGACUCAGAUGAAACGAUAUCGCAUGUGUUGCAGGAUUGUCCAUUCUUGAUUAUUACCUGGGAGCGGCUUCCCUGCUUGCCUACUUCUGAAGAUCCUUCUUUCUUUGAGACAUAACUCAUAUAGUUUGCGGCCACUAGACUUCUCUUUAACAUUGCUUGCUGGUUUUUUUGGCGAGUCAAAAGGGAAGCUAACUUUGUCUCAGCAGCUUAGCACAUCUCUCAAGCUAUUGUCACAACGUGUACGUGGAUGUUCGUAUUAGAGACCUGGCUUCGGCUUCUGGAGUAAUAAUUUGUACCACAAAUAUGCAUUUAUUUUCUUUCCAUAAUUUGUGGAGUAAUAAUUAGUAAUAAUUUGUACCACAAAUAAGUUGUAGGAGUUCCCUGCAACUAAUCUACGUGCCUUCAUGUUAUUGGAUGAAUUUCUUUUAAUUUUCCUUUCCUUUUUUAAUUUAUUAAUUGUUGGACAGUCAAGAGCGAGAUGUUCGUUAUUGGGAACGGCGUGCACCCCUGCAUGCCUUUCCCUCCUUUUUGCUACGAGGAAUAUUGGAGAACAGGAGUUGCACGGCGUGCACGUUUUCUUCUUUUUGCCAUGAGGAACACUUAAUCCAGGGAGGUGCACGCCGUGCACACUCCAAUUUCAGCAGCUUCCUAUAAAAGAGCUGAUUUUGAGGAAAGAGAACAACAAUUCCCAACUUCAUUUGUUCUUGAUUUUUCCCGGCUCUCCUCUGCAAAAACCAGCACAAAACCUCUCCUAGAAGCUCAAUUGAAGAUCCAAUGGAGUUCCUAACAAAGAUUGAAGUUAGGAUUGAAACUAGAAGACUAAAAUCGAUGAUUGGAGGAAGAACAUGUCAUUGUCUCUUCGACAAGAUGAUGGUUAGGGUUACUUUUGAUUUGUCUCCUUUUAGAAUUAUGAGUAGUUAAAUAUGUAGAGAUUCUUGGUAGAGAUGUAGGAUUUGAGCCAUGAUACCUGUCUUGAACGUUUAGAAACGACGAUUGUGAAUAUUUGAAUAUGAAUGAAAGAUUGUUUUGAUUGUUGUGUUUGCAACCUAAUUCUUUUUACGGCUUGAAUUAGGUCAAAUUUAUGAAAUCUUUUAUUUGAUAGACUUAGGAAUUCGUAAGAUUAAUAAUCAAGGAUAGAUGACAAGUUAUCGUGGGGUAAGCCGAUAACCCAAUUCUACCUUUUGUGUAAGCCUCCCGUGAUGGUUCCUCCGAAAUUGGUUGUUGAAGUUGAAGGACUUAAGGAGGAUGAGUUAGCGGACAAGGAUGCAGCUAAUGACAAUGAAGAUGGAGCAAAAGAGGCUGAAGAAGAAAUGCUCUUGCAUCCCAUGGGUAAGGGGCCAACAAAGACCAAUGGAGCUAGCUCUAACUCAAAACCAAUUUUGGCACCUUACAAGCCAAAGGUCUCAUAUCUCUUUCAACAACUCGCUUUUUCCCUUUGAAUCAACCCUUGAAUUAUUAUUUUAAUUUAAUCAUUAGAGUAAUUAAAACCCAAAACCAAUUAUUUCAGUCUAAACCGUGUUGACGAGUUCGAGUAGAGGUAUAACGAGAGGGACCUUUAGACAAAAACGACACUUGUGUUGUCGAAUUAACUGUGAAGUUAUUUCGACGAUCAAUCGUGAAUCGUCCUAAAUGACUAAAAGGAAAAGGAAACUCUUAUUUAUUUGAUGUAGUUGUUAUUAUAUUGGAUUGCCAACCAUUAAUCAAUUUGUAAUUUAGAAAAUUUUCGGGUUUUGGGUCUCGAUUUCGACCUUGUCGUCGAAUUGUCCUUUCAAUCUUUCUUCUUUGUCAGGUUCUCUUUCUUGUUUAUUUUGAGUUUAGUCUAUAAGAUUGUUUAGGAUUAAUUUGUCGGAAGAGUUCACGAAUGAAUUAUUCUUCAUCUAGUGAAGAUCGCGACCUCUUGUAAAUCCAUGUCGAAUAUACACCUCCUAUUUAGCCUUAUUCAACAAUGUACCGAGUAUCAUUAUUGGGAAAUAGAAUAAUGUCAAGGGUUAGAACUUUAGAAGGAUGAAUUAAAAUCAAUUAAUAUAAAUUGACAACAGAAAAUGGAUUACUAUGGAAUGAUGUUUUGGUGUUGAAACUUAGUGCUUGAAAAUGGAUUACUAUGGAAUGAUGGAUGGAUUUAUAAUGANNNNNNNNNNNNNNNNNNNNNNNNNNNNNNNNNNNNNNNNNNNNNNNNNNNNNNNNNNNNNNNNNNNNNNNNNNNNNNNNNNNNNNNNNNNNNNNNNNNNNNNNNNNNNNNNNNNNNNNNNNNNNNNNNNNNNNNNNNNNNNNNNNNNNNNNNNNNNNNNNNNNNNNNNNNNNNNNNNNNNNNNNNNNNNNNNNNNNNNNNNNNNNNCUUAAAAAUAAACGAACUAGAUAAAUCCACAUAGACGCGAGUAUGUGAUAUUUCGAGAGUACGAUAAUCGUUUUCAUAUAUAUAAUAAAUAUAUAUAUAUGUAAUUAGGAAAAAGUAAAAACAAUAGCGAGCUCCCACAUCUGCCCAACCCGAUGCUGAUGAGGUGCUCAGGAACGUUGUUUUAGACCAUGUGAUUAUUGUUGUUGGCUUUACGUUUUUGGUAAAAAUUUUAUUUUUUGAAAAUUGUUUCCAACCAUCAAUUAUACUUCGUAUAAAAGGUAUAUAUAUUUGUAUGCUUUGUACCACGACGUACAAAAGUGCUUAUACUUGUAUAUAUUACGUACGUACACACUCCUCACACAAGCCUACACCAAUUGUAAAUAUUAAUAAAUAAACCACAAUUGUAAUACCUAAAUUGCCCUUAUCUCUGAAAUCUUUGAAUGUUGUAUUUUUGAAGCCAAAGAUUUUCGGUUUGUCAUAUUGAAAUCAAGAAUCUCGAGAAUUAUUGGAAGGGUGUCGUUACUGGAAGUAUAUCGAGAAUUAUUGGAUGGAUGAAAUAAAUAAAAAAAUGGGUCGGUUGGCAUGUUCGCAAAGUAAUUUAAUCUUUCAAAUUAUUGGAAUGAUGUCACGUCAUAUAAGUGGAUAAAUGAAAUUAGACGAAAAAAAGACAACAAAAAUUAUUAGUUUGUAAUGUAAAUGUAAUUAUUAAUAGGUCGUAUUCAUUUUGAGCCAUCUUUAAUCAUUUGACAUUUAAUUUAUUAUUUAAAGUUGAUUUGGUUUUCUGACCAUAUCCAUAUGCAAUCUUUUUUCUAUGAUAGCUCCUUGGAGCGAUAAAGAAAUAACACAUACAUAUUAAUUAUGAAUCAAUUUAAAAAGUGAAAAUUACUGUAAUAUUCACUUGAAAUAUUUAAAACAGCCUCGCGUGUGACACAAUGGACGGCUCUAUUAUCCGACUGUCAAGCGGUUGCGUGAAAAGUGAAGCUAACUUUGUCUCAGCAGCUUAGCACAUCUCUCAAACUAUUGUCACAACGUGUACGUGGAUGUUCGUAUUAGAGACCUGGCAUCGGCUUCUGGAGUAAUAAUUUGUAGCACAAAUAUGCAUUUAUUUUUACUUGCCACUAACAUUCUGGAGCAAAUGACAUAAACCAAAGUCUCAUUACAAACACAAGUGUAGUAGCCUGGGUAUUACGCAGCGACAUGGUUGUGAAUCGGAACGUAAACGAGAUGAUCUUCAGGGAAGAAAUGGCAGACCUCAGUCUCCCCAGGCUUAACUCCAAGCACCUUAAACGAGAUGUGUCCUUCGGACCACUGAGAAGUGUCCAUGUGACACAUUGCAAGAGCUUCAACUCUGUCUCCAUUGCCAGUACUUGCCAAUGAAACCAUGAAAACUCUGUUCUCAGUCUGCUGGCUAUGGCAAUAGAAAAUAGCAUAUGGGUAUGGCACUGUGUGACAUGCCACCUGCCUUGUAGCCUUCACUUCCUCUGGCUCACCAACGAUUGUGUAGUUGUGCACAAGUUGGGUUCCUGCAGAGAAAUUUCUGAAUCUUGUUAAAAAUCUUGUGUAGAUUAGUCAUUUUCGUAAGAGUGAUCAACAAACAAACAAAUUUUAGGGUGGGCAUUCAGUUACGGUUCAUGGUUAGAAUUAGAAAUGAGUAAUCGAAGAUUUUGAAUCUGUAACUAACAAUAUUUACGUGGGUGAAAAGUUUUUGUCAAAAACGGUCGAAGUGGUCGGAGAAUUGAUCAAAAACUUUUUCAUGACUAGCGAUAGUGGUCUGAUCACCGAAAAUUGUUGGGUUAUAAUUAUAGUCCAAUUAUUUAAAUAUCAAAUGAUCAUAUUAGCGGAUUAAUCUAAACCCUUAGAUUGUAUGAGAGUAUUGAAGGGCAGCCACCCAAAAUUAUCUUGGAACUGUGACAAUAAAAAGGUAAUUUUUUGCACCGGAAUUGGACUCGGUUAAGGCUUUGAUAUUUUUUUAACCGAAACAAUAUUCUAAUAUACUUUCUUCAUAUUUAUAUCAAUCUUAACCAAACCUGAUAUUAACUAACCUAUUUUGGUUAGUUAAUAAACCGGUCAUCGCCAUGUCCCCCAGUUAGUAACCGCCCUGACCAUUCCCUCUAAACGUGCAACAACACUGAAAAGAAGAAUUGAGUGAUCGAUGAAUACCAUCAGAUUCAGGGGCUCUUGCACUUCUUAUCAAGUGGGUGGUGCUCAGGACCUUGAGCUGAUGCUGCCGGCCAAGUGUCUCCUUUGCGAAAUCGAGCAUGGAUUCCAAGGAAGUGGCGCAGAACUUGGUCUCUCCCUCGAUCGAGCUGCUCUCGCAGCUCGAAAGUGCCUCUGCCACGGCAGAGGCCUCUGUGGAGCCCGGCUUGUAGGAGAAGAGCUGGAGGAGGUAAGGGAGGUGUUGGGAGGAGAACGGGAUCGAAUCCGCUUCUUCUCUGACAAGGAAAUGCGGGGAUUUCGAUGGAUCGUCUCUGUUCGGGAAGUAGAUUUCCAUUUGGGAUCCUUGUUUCAGGUCUUUCAACCUGAAGAACACUUUCGAGCCAGGGCUCAUCAUCAUAUGAUGCUGAUGGUUAUGCUGGUGCUGAUGGUGAGUAGUUUCUUGAGGAACAUUGUGUGAUGCUAAGUCUCUUCCUCCAUCUACAGCCACCACCCAAUGGAGCUGAAAAUCACACCAUGAAUUAUAUAUUACAAAAGCAGAGUUAUUGAGUAACUUUUGAAGCAAAAAUUAAAGAGAGAUUUGAUUGUUGAUUACCACAAGGAGGGAGAAGAGUAGGCUCAAGAACUUGAGGGAGGUUUCUUUACCCAUCAUGCUUCAGAAAUUUCACAGGAGAUAUGACAAAUUGACAACAACCUUUUGUAGCAGAACGAGGAAAACAUAAAAAAUAGUUUCCGAAGCAUAUAUUAUCCGCCACACGUGAUAUUUUAGAGCAAAAUGAUAUAUAUUUGAGAAGAUAAUAUUUUAUGAGGGAUAAAUUGUUUGGUUGAUGUGUUAUUCAAUAUGGUAUUUGAUAACUGAAAUAUCAUAUUCUCGAAAUACAAUGAUACUUUAAAUACUUAUGGGUCAGGUAUUUGAAAUACCACUGCCCUAAUGCCAUAUAUUUUAUUUUGGUUACCAAACGAGUUAUGUUUAUGAUGAGAUAUUUGAAAUAACUCGAAAGUGAAUUAUUUAAAAUAUCAUAGUCCGAAAUGCCAUAUAUUUUUACGGGUCGUUUGGAUGAGUUAUUUCGCAUACGUGGUAUUUUGGAGUAAACUGAUUCGUUAUUUGAGAAUGUGAUAUUUAUNNNNNNNNNNNNNNNNNNNNNNNNNNNNNNNNNNNNNNNNNNNNNNNNNNNNNNNNNNNNNNNNNNNNNNNNNNNNNNNNNNNNNNNNNNNNNNNNNNNNNNNNNNNNNNNNNNNNNNNNNNNNNNNNNNNNNNNNNNNNNNNNNNNNNNNNNNNNNNNNNNNNNNNNNNNNNNNNNNNNNNNNNNNNNNNNNNNNNNNNNNNNNNNNNNNNNNNNNNNNNNNNNNNNNNNNNNNNNNNNNNNNNNNNNNNNNNNNNNNNNNNNNNNNNNNNNNNNNNNNNNNNNNNNNNNNNNNNNNNNNNNNNNNNNNNNNNNNNNNNNNNNNNNNNNNNNNNNNNNNNNNNNNNNNNNNNNNNNNNNNNNNNNNNNNNNNNNNNNNNNNNNNNNNNNNNNNNNNNNNNNNNNNNNNNNNNNNNNNNNNNNNNNNNNNNNNNNNNNNNNNNNNNNNNNNNNNNNNNNNNNNNNNNNNNNNNNNNNNNNNNNNNNNNNNNNNNNNNNNNNNNNNNNNNNNNNNNNNNNNNNNNNNNNNNNNNNNNNNNNNNNNNNNNNNNNAAUUAAUAUAUUUUUAAUAUCUAAAUUAUUUAUUAUUUUACUAAAAUAAUUCUUACUGUAUUAUUUAUUUCUUAUGAGAUCCGUAUGUGAUCUGUUGGAUGGCUACAUAACCCGGAGAGGUUUAAAAUCCAAGCAAAUUAAUUUCAGAAAUUUCAGAAUUUUUAACCCAAGGGUAGUUUGGGUAUUCAAAUUUUAAAAUUUAUUUUUAUUUAAUCUUAAUUUUAAUUGGUCCUGAAAGCUAAUCCUCCCUCUUCCGUCUUUUUUUCUCCACAAGAGGACGGGCGGAGAUGUGGCCGCGCUCCAAUGAAUAGAUGAGGGAGAAAGAGGGCCAAUUAGAGGAAGAGGCGUGGGAGAGCUCGGAGCGGUAGCGGCGGGGGGGGGGUUCUUCUUUUUUGUGGGGGGCCUGUUUGCGCUAUCGGCACUGGAUUCCAGAUUUGGCGGGCUCGGGGGAGGGGAGGUGAGGAUUAGCUGGUCUUCUGCUUCGACCAUGUUGAUUUUUAAUGAAAUAAUUGGUUAUUAAAAUAUAACUCAUUAAUUAAUGCUGAAGGACAAUAUUUACAUAAAAUCCAAGUUGUAGGAGUUCCCUGCAACUAUUCUACGUGCCUUCAUGUUAUUGGAUGAAUUUCUUUUAAUUUCCUUUCCUUUUUUUAAUUUAUUAAUUGUUGGACAGUCAAGAGCGAAAUGUUCGUCGAUGCGGAGAGAUUGGUUCCAAGGAUUGCGACUCUUUUUUUAUAUGUUGGAUGGUGAUGGCAGCAUUGAUGUGAACUCGCCUCCAAGAUUUCAGUUGACGGGAGGUGCCUUUUAAGAGUGGGAGGCGUUCCGGUGCUUCGUGGCGGCAUUGCCGCGACCUCUAAUUACGGUUGGACCUCCGCAGGUAGUGUGGCCUCGUGCACUUAUGGGAGCUUCUCGGUGAGCUCGUUGAUGAAGGCCCUCCAACUGGUUUCCUUCCCUGGUGAAGAUGACUUUCAUGCUCAAAUGACUGGGAUGAAGUUGGUGCCGACAAAGAUACAAGGGUUCUUGUGGCUCUCCUAUCUUAAUAGGAUCCUGACAAUAGAUAAUCUUCAAUGGCGAGGUAUGGUGAUGACAAACUGGUGCAUCUUAGUAAGAUAAAAGCAAACUUGUUGGCACACUAGGUCCAAUGUCAUGAGUUAUGUGACUAUCUAUGUUCACAGGAGCAUGAUGACCCUGACCAAUCGACUCGUUUUUCCAGAUUUACUAGCGGAGCUUUUUAUAUAUUAUAAAAUUUAUUGUGGUAAUAUAGUGAUAAUAUGAAUAUUUUUUAGAUAGAUAAUUGAUCGCGAGGGAGAAACUCAAAUGGAAAAACAACAAUUCGGAAAGUUUGAAAGAACCUGUCUUAUUUAAAUCUCGCCGAACUACCUACGAAUUUAAUCAAGGGAGAGCCACCUAGUAAGACACCUUUGUAAUGAUAGCGCUAACUGCAAAACACACCGUAUAUUUCGAUUGAACAACUUGAAUAACAUCAACCUCAACAUCCACCUACCAAAGCCCCACCCAAAACACCAAACAUAUGCCUACAUGACUACCAAAAGCCCCAAAAUAUAAGGGUGCAAAAUUUUAAAGUGGAGCGUGGAGCGUCUCGAACAACCAAACGAUCAAAGCGCCACAGCACCAUCCACAUUGACCGAUCUUUUAAGACAUGGAGGCUACAGAGGUGUCCCGGAUUAACAAUGAGAUCACUUAUUUUUUUAAUGUAUGUAUAUUGGAAACGGGGUACAAAUGGAUUCAGUAGUAAAGCUCUGUGUUUGGUGAUUCCGAAAAUCUUUUAUUUUGUAUUAGCCGAAAAUCUCGAUCUACUUUGAUAGAAAUAUACAUUAGAAACAGGCGAUUAUAUGACAAUUUUUAUGAAUGGGGUAAAAUUGAAAUGAAAUCUAUGAAAAUAGAUGUUAUUGGAAUCGAAAAGUUAUUAUGAACAAUAGUUGUGAAGAGAAUAAUUAAUUUUGAGUAGACUAAACAAUUUAAUGGAAGAAAAUUUAUUAGAGAGGGAAAAAUAUUUGAUGAGAAAUUAGAAAAUAAAUUAAAAGUUUAUUUAUUAUGAAAGGUGAAAUAUGAUUAUUGGGAUGAAAAAUAACAUAAAUCAAUAAAAAAUAUCAAAUAUGCCUCAUAUCAAUCAAAUUUUCUUAUAUUCCUAUAUAUUUUUUUAAAGAUUAAGAAAAAGUAAAAACAAUGGCGAGCUCCCAACUAUCAUAUGCCCAACAUGAUGCUGAUGAGUUUGUCCAGGAACGUUGUUUGGUAUCAUGUGAUUACAAACGACGAUAAUCACGUGGGAUGAAAAAAAUUCUAUCAAUAGAAGUUAUGGCCUCCGAAAAAUUGAUAAAAAAACUUUUUGGUGAGCGAAGCCGUAACCUCAUUUAUUUUGUUUUUAGGUUCUAUUUUUGUUCUUGUAAUAUCAGCUGCUAGAUCUCACAUACUAAUUUUGAACAGUUCAGAUGGGGUUAGGGCUUAUUAGAACGGCGCCGAUAAAUUUUUUAUUAGCACCCCGAUUGGAAACCUAGGAGGCCUAGUGUGUACUGGUCGAGGGGGGUAGUAGAGCUGCGGAGAUUACUGUAAUGCGGUAUCAUUAAACUAUGGGAAAAAUUCGAGUCGAUAUAUGAAACUAUUUUGGAUUCGCCAGUGUAGUGCCGGAUGUGAUGAAUUUGCUUGGGGAUUACAAGUAACUUGUUCCAUUCGAAGUAACUUGUUCUGCAUUUUUUUUUCGUCAUAUCAAUCAGACAUCAACAUCUUGAAAAUUUCAUUACACAGGUGAUAAACUUGACAGAAACAAACGACUUCAAAUCAGAUGAAAAUAAGAAAAUAAAAACAAGCAGACAGUAUUAAUACAAAUACUUCAUAGUUUCCUUUAUUUCAAAGGCCGAACAGCAAGCAUAGUUGAAGGUAGAACAUUCAGCAUGAUUCAUUCGAGGUUGUUGACAUACUUUUGAUUGAAACUUAGAGUUUGUUGCAUCGGAGACUAUUCUUAAUUAUCGGACACAAAGCCUUGAUUAGGUUGCGACUCGAUCUCCUUGGCGAACUCGUUGGAAGGAAGUCCGUCCUUGUAGCCGAAAGCUUGAUUAGGUUGUGACUCGAUCCCCUUGGCGAACUCGUUGGAAGGAAGUCCGUUCUUGUAGCCGAAAGUUUGAUUAGGUUGCGACUCGAUCCCCUUGGCGAACUUGUUAGAAGGGAGUCCGUUCUUGUAGGAGAACGCUUGAUUUGGUUGCGACUCGAUCCCCUUGGCGAACUCGCUGGAAGGAAGUCCGUUCUUGUAGCCGAAAGCUUGAUUAGGUUGUGACUCGAUCCCCUUGGCGAACUCGCUGGAAGGAAGUCCGUUCUUGUAGCCGAAAGCUUGAUUUGGUUGCGACUCGAUCCCCUUGGCGAACUCGUUGGAAGGAAGUCCGUUCUUGUAGCCGAAAGCUUGAUUUGGUUGCGACUCGAUCCCCUUGGCGAACUCGUUGGAAGGAAGUCCGUUCUUGUAGCCGAAAGCUUGAUUAGGUUGCGACUCGAUCCCCUUGGCGAACUCGCUGGAAGGAAGUCCGUUCUUGUAGCCGAAAGCUUGAUUUGGUUGCGACUCGAUCCCCUUGGCGAACUCGCUGGAAGGAAGUCCGUUCUUGUAGCCGAAAGCUUGAUUUGGUUGCGACUCGAU